UGGCUCUCGCAUCGAUGAAGAACGCAGCGAAAUGCGAUAAGUAAUGUGAAUUGCAGAAUUCAGUGAAUCAUCGAAUCUUUGAACGCAACUUGCGCCCUCUGGUAUUCCGGAGGGCAUGCCUGUUUGAGUGUCAUGUAGAAUCAUCUAAUCAGGUUUCUGAUCAAGAUGGAUUUGGGAGUUUUGCCUUUGUUGGCUCUCCUUAAAAGCAUUAUGCAGACGUAAUAAGUUUCGUCGUACGCAUAUUACUACUAUAUUUGUACUCUGGCCUCAAAUCAGGUAGGGCUACCCGCUGA
rnacentral:misc_RNA from 1 species